rnacentral:rRNA from 1 species
GAUGAACGCUAGCGGCAGGCCUAAUACAUGCAAGUCGAGGGGCAGCGCGGUAGCAAUACUGGCGGCGACCGGCGCACGGGUGCGUAACACGUAUGCAACCUACCUUCAACUGGAGGAUAGCCCGGGGAAACUCGGAUUAAUACUCCAUAACACAGGGAUCCCGCAUGGGAAUAUUGUUAAAGCUACGGCGGUUGAAGAUGGCAUGCGUUCGAUUAGCUAGUUGGUGUAGGUAACGGCUCACCAAGGCUACGAUCGAUAGGGGGUCUGAGGGAUGAUCCCCCACACUGGUACUGAGAUACGGACCAGACUCCUACGGGAGGCAGCAGUAGGGAAUAUUGGUCAAUGGGCGCAAGCCUGAACCAGCCAUGCCG